rnacentral:tRNA from 1 species
GGGGGUGGAUGGGGCCUGGUGGCCCUCCUGGUCUUCAAAACCUGUGUGAGGCCUGAAGAAGGUCUCGGGUGCGUUCGAUUCGCACACAUCCCCGCCA